GAUCGUUGAUUGAUCUCCAUGGAGACCCUUGCUACUUCCGUUAUUCACAAACGACGCCAUUUUGGUUGUUGCUGCUGCACUUUGUUUCCACGUCUGUGUUUGCAUUUUGCUCUUUAUCCCGCACGUAUCGCACGUUCUGCACGAUGUAUGCCACAGUUGCUUUGGUUUAUCAUCAAGUUCAGAUAUAUCAGUCGUGGGAGGGAUACAGACAAGUACCGGAUUCUAGAGUCACGAUGUGACAGACAAUGCCGAGCGAGGGAUGUUUCACAGCCGCUAUCGUAUCUCGCGAUCUCGAGACCAUGUACAAGAUUUUUAAGUUCAGUGAUUACAUAAUAAACUCCUUAUUGAACUUUA